rnacentral:rRNA from 1 species
UUAAAGAGGGGCUUGCGUCACAUUAGUUAGUUGGCAGGGUAAAGGCCUACCAAGACUAUGAUGUGUAGCUGGACUGAGAGGUUGAACAGCCACAUUGGGACUGAGACACGGCCCAAACUCCUACGGGAGGCAGCAGUAGGGAAUUUUCGGCAAUGGAGGAAACUCUGACCGAGCAACGCCGCGUGAACGAUGAAGUAUUUCGGUAUGUAAAGUUCUUUUAUUGAAGAAGAAAAAAUAGUGGAAAAACUAUCUUGACGAUAUUCAAUGAAUAAGCCCCGGCAAACUAUGUGCCAGCAGCCGCGGUAAUACAUAGGGGGCGAGCGUUAUCCGGAAUUAUUGGGCGUAAAGGGUGCGUAGGCGGUUUAAUAAGUCUAUAGUUUAAUUUCAGUGCUUAACACUGUCCUGCUAUAGAAACUAUUAGACUAGAGUGAGAUAGAGGCAAGUGGAAUUCCAUGUGUAGCGGUAAAAUGCGUAAAUAUAUGGAGGAACACCAGAGGCGUAGGCGGCUUGCUGGGUCUUUACUGACGCUGAGGCACGAAAGCGUGGGGAGCAAACAGGAUUAGAUACCCUGGUAGUCCACGCCGUAAACGAUGAGUACUAAGUGUCGGGAUUACUCGGUACUGAAGUUAACACAUUAAGUACUCCGCCUGAGUAGUACGUACGCAAGUAUGAAACUUAAAGGAAUUGACGGGACUCCGCACAAGCGGUGGAUCAUGUUGUUUAAUUCGAAGAUACACGAAAAACCUUACCAGGUCUUGACAUACUCUGCAAAGCUAUAGCAAUAUAGUGGAGGUUAUCAGGGAUACAGGUGGUGCAUGGUUGUCGUCAGCUCGUGUCGUGAGAUGUUAGGUUAAGUCCUAAAACGAGCGCAACCCUUGUCAUUAGUUGCCAGCAUGUCAUGAUGGGCACUUUAAUGAGACUGCCAAUGAAAAAUUGGAGGAAGGUGAGGAUCACGUCAAAUCAUCAUGCCCCUUAUGAUCUGGGCUACAAACGUGAUACAAUGGCUGUUACAAAGAGUAGCUGAAACGUAAGUUUAUAGCCAAUCUCAUAAAAGCAGUCUCAGUUCGGAUUGAAGUCUGCAACUCGACUUCAUGAAGUUGGAAUCGCUAGUAAUCGCGAAUCAGCAUGUCGCGGUGAAUACGUUCUCGGGGUUUGUACACACCGCCCGUCAAACCACGAAAGUUGGUAAUACUCAAAAACGGUAGCCUAACUUCUUCGGAAGAGGGAACCGUCUAAGGUAGGAUCGAUGAUUGGGGUUAA